rnacentral:rRNA from 1 species
UGGAAGAAGAACCAACAGGGAUUGCCCUAGUAACGGCGAGUGAAGCGGCAACAGCUCAAAUUUGAAAUCUGGCUCUUUUAGAGUCCGAGUUGUAAUUUGCAGAGGGCGCUUUGGCUUUGGCAGCGGUCCAAGUUCCUUGGAACAGGACGUCACAGAGGGUGAGAAUCCCGUACGUGGUCGCUGGCUAUUGCCGUGUAAAGCCCCUUCGACGAGUCGAGUUGUUUGGGAAUGCAGCUCUAAAUGGGAGGUACAUUUCUUCUAAAGCUAAAUAUUGGCCAGAGACCGAUAGCGCACAAGUAGAGUGAUCGAAAGAUGAAAAGCACUUUGGAAAGAGAGUCAAACAGCACGUGAAAUUGUUGAAAGGGAAGCGCUUGCAGCCAGACUUGCUUACAGUUGCUCAUCCGGGUUUUUACCCGGUGCACUCUUCUGUAGGCAGGCCAGCAUCAGUUUGGGCGGUAGGAUAAAGGUCUCUGUCACGUACCUCCUUUCGGGGAGGCCUUAUAGGGGAGACGACAUACUACCAGCCUGGACUGAGGUCCGCGCAUCUGCUAGGAUGCUGGCGUAAUGGCUGUAAGCGGCCCGUCUUGAAACACGGACCAAGGAGUCUAACAUCUAUGCGAGUGUUUGGGUGUCAAGCCCGAGCGCGUAAUGAAAGUGAACGGAGGUGGGAACCCGCAAGGGUGCACCAUCGACCGAUCCUGAUGUCUUCGGAAGGAUUUGAGUAAGAGCAUGGCUGUUGGGACCCGAAAGAUGGUGAACUAUGCUUGAAUAGGGUGAAGCCAGAGGAAACUCUGGUGGAGGCUCGCAGCGGUUCUGACGUGCAAAUCGAUCGUCAAAUUUGGGCAUAGGGGCGAAAGACUAAUCGAACUAUCUCGUACCUGGUUCCUGCGAUUCCCCCCGAGAAAAGAAGAAGAAAAAC